UACAGAGGUCUCAAGCGUUGUUCGGAUUCAUUGGGCGUAAAGCGCACGUAGGCGGCUUCGCAAGUCGGAUGUGAAAUCCCUCGGCUCAACCGAGGACGUGCAUACGAAACUGCGGAGCUUGAGUGCUGAAGAGGAUCGCGGAAUUCCCGGUGUAGAGGUGAAAUUCGUAGAUAUUCGGAAGAACACCAGUGGCGAAGGCGGCUCACUGGCCCGGUACUGACGCUGAGGUGCGAAAGCGUGGGGAGCAAACAGG
rnacentral:rRNA from 1 species